UACGUAGGGGGCAAGCGUUGUCCGGAUUUAUUGGGCGUAAAGAGCGUGUAGGCGGCUUUACAGGUCCGUUGUGAAAACUCGAGGCUCAACCUCGAGACGCCGGUGGAAACCGUGUGGCUAGAGUCCGGAAGAGGAGAGUGGAAUUCCUGGUGUAGCGGUGAAAUGCGCAGAUAUCAGGAAGAACACCAAUGGCGAAGGCAGCUCUCUGGGACGGUACUGACGCUGAGACGCGAAAGCGUGGGGAGCGAACAGG
rnacentral:rRNA from 1 species